rnacentral:rRNA from 1 species
UACGGGGGGGGCAAGCGUUGUUCGGAAUUACUGGGCGUAAAGGGCUCGUAGGCGGCCCGUCAAGUCCCGUGUGAAAGCCCCCGGCUCAACCGGGGAACGGCGCGGGAAACUAGCAGGCUUGAGUUCGGGAGAGGGAAGCGGAAUUCCGGGUGUAGCGGUGAAAUGCGCAGAUAUCCGGAGGAACACCGGUGGCGAAGGCGGCUUCCUGGACCGACACUGACGCUGAGGCGCGAAAGCUAGGGGAGCAAACGGG